UAAUCCAAAUUUUUGGUUCCCCCUCCGCAUCAUCUUUCUUUGUAUCUUUCUCCUUCUGUAUCUUUCGUUUUUCUCCUCUCUUCUCUUCUCUCUCUGGCCAUCUAGAUCUAUUCUCUUCUCUCUCUAUCCAAUAAUCUUUCUCGUUGUCUCUCUUCUUUGUACCGCUCUCUUUUCUUUUCUCUCUCACGUGUGUUGAUUCCCUGAAGCACUUAAAGGAAAAUUAGGAUUUGAUUGGCAUCUUCAUUCCGCUUUUAUUGCAUUGGCUCUGCAUUUAACGUGAAGGGGGCUUCCACUGUGCAUUCUGGGUUGGCUGAAGGAAUGAUCAGGAGAGCAUGCACAGUCGUUAUCUUCUACGUCCACAACCGAGAAAUUUGGAAGCAGCAUCUUAGAACAGUCAUUAACUACAGGAUGCGCUAGACAAGUACCAGCUUGUUUCAGAGAAGGUUUUGUUACAAGAGAGCGUUACAAGGGGUGGUCCUGUAUUUAUAUUAGGGAAUGCAUACUUGCGAGCACUGCAAGGAAGAUCGUGUAAUAUGGGAAGAGUCAAUCCAUGAACGACCAUGGGAAAAGGCACGAUCAAUGUAUAAUGAUGAGUUAGAAGCAGGGUAUAAAUCCGUAUCUUUGUUGGAUGGAAUUGUUGGUUGAAAGGUGAAUAUUAGUUGGUGAAUAUAAUUAGUUGGUGGAUAUUUAGUUGGUGGAUAUUGGUGAUUGAUAUUUGGUUUGUACUUGCACUACGCCAUAGAUGGGCAAAUAAGACACUCAAAAUCUGUUACCUUAGACACGUUUUAUGUUACAAUAGGGCUAAUGUAACGCAAAUUUACCAUUUCAUCCGCUAG